rnacentral:rRNA from 1 species
CGGAACACGUACGCAACCUUCCUUUAACUGGAGAAUAGCCCCUCGAAAGAGGGAUUAAUACUCCGUAACAUGAUGAUAAGGCAUCUUAUUAUUAUUAUAGCUCCGGCGGUUAAAGAUGGGCGUGCGCCUGAUUAGGUAGUUGGCGGGGUAAUGGCCCACCAAGCCUGCGAUCAGUCACUGGUGUGAGAGCACGACCAGUCACACGGGCACUGAGACACGGGCCCG